GCCUGCAUGGCUCAAUGGUUGAGCGUCGACUUAUGAACCAGGAGGUCAUGGUUCGAUUCCUGGUGAGGGCA
rnacentral:tRNA from 1 species